AAGUCGUAACAAGGUUUCCGUAGGUGAACCUGCGGAAGGAUCAUUAUCGAGAGAGGGAUUUACGGCCGCUCGCGGCCCAUGUCCCAGGGGGCUUCCCCCAAUUCUCCAACCCUAUGUGUACCAACCUCCGUUGCUUCGGCGAGCGUCGGGGUGCCACCGUGCGCCCCGGCCCCGGUUUCGGCCGGUGCGUUCUCGCCGGAGGCCCGAUUCCAUUCUGUUUGCAGCCCCGUCCGAGCGUACCGAUUAAAUUCACAAUCAAAAACUUUCAACAACGGAUCUCUUGGUUCUG
rnacentral:misc_RNA from 1 species